rnacentral:lncRNA from 1 species
AAUCAGCCACGGCCCAAACAUAUUAAAAAAAUAAAUAAAUAAAUAAAUAGAGGAGAAAAUUUUCGAAGGGAGUCUUCUUCCUCCAUUCAUCGGCUCCCAAUCGGAGUCGGAAAAGAGCCCCCUCCAGCUCUAUUUAAGGAGGAGAUCUCUCCUCUCCCCCUUCCACCAAAGAUCCGAGAUUCAGCAAUCACCGAAAAACCACCAUGGAGACCCGACCUGUGUCCGUCCAAUUUCUCACCGGAAAGCCUCACCGGCAUCGAAGGUGAGCCUCCUCCUCCUUCCUCUCUUCUCCCCUUUCCUUUCCGUGCCGGUGUGCACGCUCACC